rnacentral:lncRNA from 1 species
GUGAUGCAUUGCUAGGAGACAUAGAAAUAAUGAGCUGCUGUCGAUCUGGUCUUCUAAGUGCUAACAUAUGUGCAAUUCAAACCAUAUUUUAAUAAAAUACAUAUCGUUUUUUUAUUUACUCAGGUCACAAGAUACCUGUACCUAAUAAUUUUUCAUGUGAAAUGAUCCCAUUCUAUUUUGAAGGAAAUUUACUCAUACAGAAAAGAAAGCUAGAGACUCCAAGAGGCAGGAAAUGAACAGAAUAGGCAAUCACAGAUCCAUAUCAGAUAAUAAAAUUGAAUCGAAAAUUUAGUUUGAAUUUUAUGUUAUUGAAACUAUUAAUUUACAAACUUCCUCAAAAUGUGGAUUUUUUUAUUAUUGUUUAGAGGCUAUGGACAAUGGAUAUUUGAACAUCAUUAAUUUGUAAGCACAUUGAUUUUCAUUCAACUUCAAGAACUUCAUUUUAUGUUUUUAGGGGAAUUUCUGUUGUAAUAAGUUUUAAAGUUUUGUAUGGAUAUCCACAUUUUGAAUCAUUCUGAAUGUUUUCUGAAUAUAUCUGAAUCAUUCUGAAUCUGUCUGAAUCCAUCUGGAUCCAUCAGAAUGUUGUCUGGAUAUUUCUUGAUAUUUCUGAAUGUUGUCUGAUUAUUUCUUAAUCUUUCUGAAGUUCAGAUUUUUUCUGAAUUCAUUCUAAUUAAUGACUUAAAUUAUUCUUACAUUAUUCUGAUCUUUGUCUGAAUGCUAUUCUGUUUUUUGUCUAAAUGUUCGUAUGACAAUUUUGAAUUUUUCCUUAAAAGUCCGAAAUCCAGCAAAAAUUCAGACAUUUUCGUAAAUGUACAUUAUUUUAGCCAUUCAGACAUUAUUCAGAAAAAAAUAAGAAAAAAUAAGAAUGCUGGUCAGACAGAAUUCAGACGCAAUUUUUUCAUGAGGGAGCUCUUAAAUGAUGAUUUUUGCCAUUUUUUUGCAUUUUAGUCUAAUAUAUUGAUAACUAUGAAAGAUAGAUAGACACUUUAAAUAGCAAAAAUGGUAAGCAAGAAGAGAUCUGCAAAUAAGUCAAAGUAUGCCGAAAUUGUGAGUUGACUCUUUAUAGGAGUUUUUGCACUUAAAUGACAAUUUUUUUCACCCUUUCUUAUGUUUUGGGCAAACACUGAAUAUAGAGAUGAAAUGUAAACAGAAAAAAAAUAUCAGCAAUAGAAGAUCAACAAAACGAUUUUUGUCAUGAAUUAUAUUAUAGUGUACAAUGUUGAAGAGUGUCCAUUGUUGACAUAGACCUAGGUAAUGAAGGACACAGGCUCUUUAGAGCCUUUAGAUAUAUUAGCAAUGACACCAAUUAUAUUUGUUUUUAGUCACAUUGACAUGAGGUCAGUGUCUCUAUCAUACUAUGUGUUGAGAGGGGGAUGAAAUCCAAUGUUAGCACUAACUCAUAAAUUCACAUUUACUUGAUAACUUGUGUUGACUGUUAAGACAAUGGAGAGGGCAUUCUGUUUCAAAUGUCAUACUAUUUUAAAAUCCUUGAUCUUAAUAUAAGUGAUGGUCUGUUGUGCUGUUAGAUUACAACUAGGGUGUACGAUUAAUGAGGUAUCAGACAUAUGGGUGACAGUAUAUCAGAGCUGCCCCAUUUUGACAUACUUAUUUUCAUUUUGCAAAUGGCAUAAUGGCAAAUGUAUAAUUACCUAUUGUGGAUGGUUUUCAGUGUAUAAUUUUUUCUGUAAUUUGUUUUCUCACUAACCUGCCGUAAUUUAAACAUUUUUAAUUGAAAUUAUCUAUGAUGUAAGAUCAACAUUUUAGUAUGGGCUUUUAAGUUUGCAUUUUAAUUCUGGGUCGUUUGGUGUGAGUUAUUUAAUUUAGGGUUUAAAGAUAGGUUGGAGUUGGAUAAUUUUUCACAAACUUAUUCAUUAAUUACAUUUGUUUAGAAAUUUAAAAUAUAGAUUUCAUAGUUACCACAUUUUUAUUUAAUUUUUAGGUGAACAAAGACUCUUCAUUAUCUGGUAUUGAUUCCAUGACUGAUAAUUUUGAAAGUACCAGUCUAGAUUCAGACUCUUUUACCUAUUUCAAAAGUAAAAACACAACUAGAAUUGAGGAGUAUUUUCAUCCAAGAGUCUUUGGACAGCAUUCUGGGGAACUACUUCUGAAUCUACACGAAUUAACAAAGAAAUGUGAUACUAGUAUCUCAAUUGUUUGUAAAACAAUUAAAAGGUCUUUCCUGUAAAAGUGAUGUUUUCGUAAUGUACUUUGUACGACCUUUCGUUUGAUAUACGACAAGCAUACCUUCUGAAACUUUUCACUUUUUACACUUAAUAACCUCAUCAGCCUACAUUUUUGAGAUCGGAAGUAUGAUGUAUGUAACACAGUAUAGAUGAGCUUUAAUUUGAUAUGCGACAACGCCAUGUUCUAGAAAGUUUGAUUUUUGCACUUAAUAACCCCAUCCAACAAAUUUUUGGAGGUCGGGAAUUUGAUAUUUCAAAUGUACACAUCAUGACCUUUUAUUUGAUAAACAACAACCCAAUCGUAAAAGAUUUAUUUUAAUAAUCGUAAAAGAUUUAUUUUAAUUUUUACACUCAAUGACCCCAUCAUACCAAUUUUUCGGGUACGUCAAUUUGAAAUUUGAAAUGUAUGCUUUAUGUUCUUUCAUUUGAUAUGCGACAACUUUACCAUCUGAGAAAUUUGAAUUUUUGCACUAAAUGACCCCACCCUUCCCCCUGGGAUGAAAAAGAGGUUUAAAAUUUUCAUUUUUAAGCAGAGUUUAUUGAGACCUUCAAUUUGAUAUAUCAGUUGACCCCAUUUGACAAAGUGUCAAAAAUGAUGCAAUAUCAACGAUAUAAAUAGAAGUUAUGAAACUUACAAAGUCAAUGCAAAACAUGAAAAUUUCAAAAUGAUUUUUUGGUGUUUUUUUCCAUGGAAUGUUUUUGGUAUUUGGUCAAACAUAUAAAUAUGUGAACCUCUUCAAUUUCUUUAACAUUUUAAGUGGUAAACUGUUGUUGAUUCAGAAAUAGAUGCCGCCGCUUGCAAAAUUUCAAACUGCAUUAUCUCUAAAACGACAAUAGAUAUCUCAAAUCUGUUAAAUGGUAAAUGAUCUACAGUUAAAUGACAACAUUAUAGAAAAGAGAAUUUGGACAAUUUCAAAGUUCACCAAGGUCACAAUUAACCAUCAACUAUAUGAUGCAAUACAAAACUUAAGAACCGGAAAUCGUAGAGACAUGGGACUAUCACCAUUCAACUCAGGACCACUUGACCUUUCAAAUAUCACAAGGUCAAGGUCAUAGUAUAAUGUGAAGGUCAAGGUGAAAUUUCAUCAUGACCUGACAUUGACCUCAAAUUGAAGGUCUUGAAUUACUGAUCAUCUUUGCAGUUUGUAGUAGGUUGAUAUCUGUUACCUUUAAAAAAGAUAUACACAAAAUACUAUAUUUAUAAGAAUCAUCCCGUUGUAACUUUUGAACAGACGGUCGGACAUUUUUGGGCGAAUUAUAUAAAAUGUAGAGCUCGUCGAGAGGAACAUUUUAUACGCUGUAUGUAGGCAGCCAAGUCUUAUCGUUUUCCUAAUAUGUAAGCUUUAAAUUGACCUUGGGUGCAUAUUGAAGGUCACAUGCAUUAAAGAUUAUUGGUGAAGGUCCCAAGUCUCUACGACUUCCGGUUCUCGAAAUAGAUUUUUUCUAAAAUUGUGUACAAUUUAUCAAGGGAAAUAACUCCUUAUAAGGGUUAAUAACAAAAUAAUUGUAUAUGUUCAUUAACAUUGCUCUCUGUUCCUGUACAUGUUGCCGUUUUCAAAUCGAUUCUAUCUCUAAUACUUUUUAAGAAAAAAUGCAAAGGAAAGAAAUCGUUUCAAGGGGAUAUAACUCUCAUAGGGGAAGAUGAAAUCCUAUUCAGCCUCAUAUGGUAAUACAUCAUGAUGAGACAAAUAAGGUCAUGAUAUCUUUAAAAACAACGAGGGGGGGCUAUGUUGAAAAAAAAUCAAUAAAAGGGAGAUACCUUCAUAAGGGGAUGAUGAAAUCCUUAACAAUGUCAUCUGGUAAUACUUCAUGAUGAGGUCUAUCGAUGGUUACUAUUUGGUAUUCAUAACUUCAAAAUAAACAAGAUGCGGGCAUGUCAAAAAAAUGUUGGAAGAAAAAAAAGAAAAAAAAAAAAAAAACAUUAGAAAAACAAUAAGGUCUUUCCUCGCGUAGAGGAAAGACCUUAAAAAUGACAAAACUUACGAUACCAGGAAUUAAGGUGGUAUGGGAGUCUAAAAUAAAAAUGAUAGAAUUUGUUCAUACUUUGCCAAAACGUUGUAUCUAUUGAUAUAUGUUGAAAAAUAUAAUAAAAAUGAUAGGUCACCGCGCAUUUUCUCAAGCUACAGGACUGGACAAAAUGACACAUUUUGUAUGGAUUAAACAGGAAAAAACACCAUUUUGUAAUUAGAAACUAAACAAAAUGAUAGAAUUGUUAAAUACUUCAGGAAAAGAUAGCUUUCAGACACUGCUUUGAGAAUAUCAAAAGAAAAGAUAGGGUCACCGUACGUUUUUUCCGGCUAAAAUACAAAAUAGGAAAAUUCCAUACAGAAUCCUUCAAAAAAUGCACUUUUUUAGAGUUACCUCCCCUUAAAAUGCCAAUUUGAAAAAAAAAUAAAAACAACCAAAAAUAAUUAACAUUUGCAAAAAUAUCAAUAUUUAGAAGUUAUAUUCUUAUAAAUUGGUACUUUUAAAUGAAAAUAUACAUUAAACAUCUGCAUUCCUGCAUCAAAUUUUCUCACUUGAUGGAAAAUCUGGACCUUUGAUUCUCUGUUUUUUACAAUCCAAGAUGGAGGAAGACACCCAUACCACCUUAAAGUAAACAAAACAGAUGUAAAUAUUAAGUAUACACCUUAUGGUGAUACCCAACACCUUCACUAAAAUUAAUUUGAUUCGUUUAAUUUUCAUAAAAUUUUGACAAAGCAUUUACUUUGACUCUUUGACAAAAACAUAAAAAAAAUAAAAAAAUUGAACCAACCAUUUUAUCAGAAAAAUGCAAUGGUUACAUAGCAGUUUGACAAACAAUAAUUUUGAUCAUUGAGAAGCUAAAUAUUUCCUUAACAACACAACGUGAAUAAAUGUUUAGCUGAUUUUACAGAGUUAUAUCCCUGUAGUGUUAGGUAACACCUUCAUUGACAUAUAAAAGAUAUGAAUCAGAUCAGCAAGAUAUGCAGUAUAAAAUGUUAUUAAAAAAAAUCCUAAAAAUUGCUUGACACAUUCGAGACAUGUGAAUAAUAGCAACAACUGUUUGAAGGCAUCACCUUGUAAGAGCCACAUACAUUUUCAAUUUUGUGUUGCUCAUGGUUUAUUUCUAAAUAAUUUCUAAAAGUUACUGGAUAUUGUAUCAGAAAAAUACAGGGGUGGCUUCAUUCCCCCCCUUUCAUGGCAUAAAAAAUAUGCAAGUUUUGCCUUGCUCCUCUUGCAAAAGCUAUUCCAUUAACCUAAAUUCAAGGGUUUGGCCCUGAAUUUAAUAAAUAUUCUUUUAAUUUACUGUAGCUUUUUUGCUCACUAAUCAGAGAUGACACUUUGAAAAAUUGGUUGUAUUAAUGGACAUAGAAAUAGCAUCUCUGUCAGUGUCACAUCUCAUGUUAUAUCAAUGUCUUGUCAGAUUUUUAUGAAUCUUAUAUCAUAGGAUUUAUAUCAGCAAUAAUGUCUUAGACAAGUUGAAAAUCUACUAUGUUAUUAAAAAGGUGUAUGCCCCUUGGAAUUAAUUACAUGGAAAGUUGCAUUGUUAGCGCUAUCUUGUAUACAAUUCUUGCCAGAUUUUUAUGAAACUUAUAUUAGCAAUGUCUCAGAUAAGUUCGAUAAUCAGUGCCGAUCAAUUGUUUUUAAAAGAGUUAUGCCUCUUGAAAAUAUCAAUUACAUUGAAAAUUGCACUGAAGCAUUCCAAAGCUUACAUUUCUAUAAGAUAUAUUUAUAAAACGUUUUAAAGUACAAAAAAAAAAAAUGUUUUUUAGUUUUUGCCCUUGGACCUAUAAAAAAUGUUGAACGUGGGGGAGACUGGAACUGUUAUUCAUAUUUACCAAAUUUACCCUCAUAUUUUUUUUUUGGAAAUGUACAUAUAUAUUGAUUAUUGUUGUUUUGUUUCAGGUGAUACUAACAUGUUGGAAAUGUCGCAGGAUCACUUUGAUAAACUAAAAAAUCAACAACGAAUUGAGGAAAGUGACAAAGCUGUUAUUUAUUACUCCAGACCUUUUGAUAUCAUUUAUGUUAAUGAUAGAAACACUUUAAUUGACUGCUUUAUGAGAUUAAACAAUAUUGAAUAUAAAUAGACAUGUUUUUAUUUCACCAAAUAAUAUAAAAUUAUACUGUAUAUCUGGAAAUAUUGUGCAACUUAAUCGGUAGUUAUUGUACCCCAAUGUUUUUGUUCAUUGAAAUGGAUUGUACUUGGCCAUGAAAGGAGAAAAAAAUAAAAGCAGUGAUUAUUUAACUUUUCAAAGGCCCAAACUGCAUACACAAUUUGAUGCAAAAGUAACCUGAUAUACGGUGUAUUGGUACAUGUGCAUUAUCAUUGUGUGUUAGCAUUUACUUGGUGCAAUGCAAUUGAUUACAAUAAUAUAAUUGAUGCCUAAAAAACAGCUUAUUCAGACCAUUUUAAUGAUGGACAUACUUUAUUUAGAUAUAAGGUAUAUCCACUUUUUUAGGCAAAAAAAACCAAGAAUUAAUUGUAUGGGGGGGGGGGGAGGAAGGACGGCACUUUUAUUACAAUUUAGUGGGUGGUGGUUAUUUAAGAAAGAUUGCUUGAACGUUUAAUUGAAAUAACCAAUUUAAAAUGUAUACAUGGUGGGGUCAAAGUCAAACCAGAUUAAACAACAGUAUUUGGUAACCAUAAAGAAAAAUCUUUGAUCAUUUAAAAAAUGUGUGAUUAUACAUUCAUUGGGGGCCACAAGAGGGUGCUACAAAUUUGUGUUUAUUAAGUAAUAUUAUUGCCAACUAUUUCUGAAAGCUUGGUUCACAAUUUUUGAACAAACAGUCCUGCAGACGAAAAUGUCUGCUUUAAUUGCACGGUUGUAGC